rnacentral:rRNA from 1 species
AACAGGGCGAUUAGUCGGAAGGAGUAGACGCGAAACCAAGUGAUCUACCCUUGGUCAGGUUGAAGGUUAGGUAACACUAACUGGAGGACCGAACCGAUAAGCGUUGAAAAGCUUCCGGAUGAACUGAGGGUGGGGGUGAAAGGCUAAUCAAACUUGGAGAUAGCUCGUACUCCCCGAAAUGCAUUUAGGUGCAGCCUUGGGAAUUACUACUGUGAGGUAGAGCGACUGAUAAGAUGCGAGGGCUUCACCGCCUAUCAAGUCUUGAUAAACUCCGAAUGCGCAGUAGUUCGAUCCCAGGAGUGAGGGCAUGGGUGCUAAGGUCCAUGUCCUAAAGGAGAAGAAUCCGGACCAUCAGCUAAGGUCCCGAAAUAAUUGCUAAGUUGAACUAACGAAGUCAGAUUGCUAAGACAGCUAGGAUGUUGGCUUGGAAGCAGCCAUUCAUUUAAAGAGUGCGUAACAGCUCACUAGUCGAGGAGUUUGGCGUGGAUAAUAAUCGGGCAUUAAGCAAUUUACCGAAGCUAUGGGAUCAGUAAUGAUCGGUAGGGGAGCAUUCCACUCUGCGUCGAAGGUGAAGCGUGAGCUUUGCUGGAGCGUGUGGAAAAGCAAAUGUAGGUAUAAGUAACGAUAAAGGGGGUGAGAAACCCCCUCGCCGAAAGACUAAGGUUUCCUGAUCAACGCUAAUCGGAUCAGGGUUAGUCGGGUCCUAAGGCUCAGCCGAACGGUGAGGCCGAUGGCAGAACAGGUUAAUAUUCCUGUACUACCUUAAGGAGUGACGUGGAGACGGAGCAGUGAUAGCGCCGCGGACUGACGGAAUAGUCCGUUGAAGGGUGUAGAUGUUGAUCUUUGCAGGCAAAUCCACAAAGAGAGUCGAACCUGAUAGUAUGGAACGUUCUUCGGAACAAUCCAAUAGUGCGUGUAAACAUACUC